CACACGCACAAAAUGUUCCAGAAACUUUGGCUGAAAUGAGUCAGGGUUCCGAAUUGCCGUUAGUUGUGCGGUUGGAAUUUGCCAGGGAAUCAUGGGAACUGUUUACUGUAUAUGUUUGAGUUUUACACAUUCAAAUUAAAAGUGAAUUCAGUUUAGAAGAGAUGGUUGGCAGCAGUGGCCGGUUUCAAGUGGUCGCCGAGUAGAUAGGAGGCGGCGCCCCCCGUUGCCCCUAGGAGAGAUGUGAAGGGAGAGGAUAAGGCGGCGGCGGCGGCCGCGGCGGCGUGCGACCCGUGGUGGCCCUGGAGAUGGGAGGGCUGCGACGACAGGACUUUGUUCGCCUGUUGGACGAGCAGGGCGGUGUUGCAGGACUGCGGACUCAUCGAGGACCACUUGUUAUUGUUGCUGAUCAACACGUCGUCCGACAGUUUUCCUGGAAACAACACAAAAUUAUUUUACCACAACGAAACACUAAUUAAAAUUUAAAUGAGUAAUAAAAUUUCAAUUAAUAUUUAACGUAAAUAGUGCCACAAUUAUAACAAAAUUAUAGUGCAAUAUUUAUUGUAAAUAUAAGUUGAUAAUGUUU